rnacentral:rRNA from 1 species
AUGCACGCUGGCGGCGUGCCUAAUCCAUGCAAGUCGCGCGAACGGACGAGAAGCUUGCUUCUCUGAUGUUAGCGGCGGACGGGUGAGUAACACGUGGAUAACCUACCUAUAAGACUGGGAUAACUUCGGGAAACCGUAGCUAAUACCGGAUAAUAUUUUGAACCGCAUGGUUCAAAAGUGAAAGACGGUCUUGCUGUCACUUAUAGAUGGAUCCGCGCUGCAUUAGCUAGUUGGUAAGGUAACGGCUUACCAAGGCAACGAUGCAUAGCCGACCUGAGAGGGUGAUCGGCCACACUGGAACUGAGACACGGUCCAGACUCCUACGGGAGGCAGCAGUAGGGAAUCUUCCGCAAUGGGCGAAAGCCUGACGGAGCAACGCCGCGUGAGUGAUGAAGGUCUUCGGAUCGUAAAACUCUGUUAUUAGGGAAGAACAUAUGUGUAAGUAACUGUGCACAUCUUGACGGUACCUAAUCAGAAAGCCACGGCUAACUACGUG